rnacentral:lncRNA from 1 species
AGUUCGUAACUUGUCUUCUGGACAUAGGUUUCUCUGUCCGGUGGUCUCUACGAAGUGGGUAAGGGUGGGAGAUUGCCAUUGACAUUCCCGCCCUGGACGGGACUCUGGUCCUGUGGGCUUUGACAGGUCACUGCAUUCCUGCCAGGUCGACGUUUUGCGUUUAUUGGUGAGAUUGAAAUCCCUUCAUUUGUGUUUUCGCCAUUUGUAUUUCUUUGUGAUUUGCCAGCUCAUAUUUUUUUCCAUGUAUGUUGAAAACAUGCUUCUCAAUUUGUCUUUUGACUCUGAUUAUGGUGUUUGAUUCUGGUUUGGGCUUUUUCAAAAUAGAAAAUUUAAAAUUUUUAGGAGUCAAAUAUUUUGCCUUAAGGCAUUUUGGGCUUUGUGCUGUGUUUUAAAGGGCUUUCCCCACUCCAAGAUUAUUUUUAAAAUAAACUCUUGUUUUUCUGUGGUACUUGUAAAAUGUUGGAUACGUCUGGAAUUUAUUUUAUUGUGGGGUGAGUUUGGAAUACAGCUUUUGGAAUUCCUUUUUUCCUCUAAAUCAUAGCCAUUUCUAACACCAUUGAUCUUCCCAUUGAUUUGAAAAACCGCUUUUGUCAUAUACUAAAUUGUUGCAUGCCUUUAGGUCCAUUUUUGGAGUUUGGUAGCUUUGAUGUGCAUAUGAUUUUGAUUUAUAAGCUGCAGAUCUGUGGAGCUCUGCUUUUUGCUUUUGGUAUUUUGCUUAGAACAGCCCUUCCCACAUGAAAUAAUAAAAAUAUACCUGUAUUUUUA